ACAAUCUAUACCCAGGAUUAAGAAAACUUAUUAUUUUUAAUAUUUCAACAUUUUAUAAACAAUACAAUUGCAAAAAGAAAAAAUAAAAAGAGGUAAAAUAUACCAAAUGGACAUUUAAAAUCAUAAAUCGAAAAACAAAGGGAUAAAUGUGAGGACAAAAAAAAAACAUUCAAAAGACAAACAGCAGUAUACAAAAAACAACAUAGGAAACAAGACUAGACUAACACAAACCAAGCAACACCUGGGGGAUAUCUCAAUGCUCUAAAAGGGUGAUCAGAUCCUGCUUCACACGUGACGUCUCUCAUGUUGCUAAUAUAAGUACAAACCUGGUUAUAAGUCUAAUUUGGAAGGUCACAUUCAUGAAAAAGAG
rnacentral:lncRNA from 1 species